rnacentral:lncRNA from 10 species
GUAUGAGUUAUCUGUAAAAUGGUUUGGUUGAAAUGUUUAGAAAACAGCUAGAAAUACAAGACGACUUCUGUAAGCAGAGACCUCUGUAUCCCCAGGACCUAGAAGGUUACCCAGACAUAGUAGUUGCUUAAUUAAAAAAAAUUAUUGAUUGAAUGAAAGAAGACUAUUAAAUGUUCAGUUCUUCUUUUUUUAUUCUGAUUCCCUGUGUAUCCAGGGGCCUCUUAUUUGGCUGCAUAUAUGAGUUUGGCUGUAAUGAAAGUAUUGGCCGUAUAUGACCAUAAACAGGCAUUCCUAUUUCUGUCACAGUUAUAUUUGUCAUUCUGUAUUAAUACAUCUAUAUCCUGAUUUCUAUUGAAGCAUGGUUAAUUUUGUUUGCUUCUAAGCAAUGUAGCUACCCUGUUGAUGCUGAUAAAAAU